rnacentral:rRNA from 1 species
UACGGAGGGGGUUAGCGUUGUUCGGAAUUACUGGGCGUAAAGCGCGCGUAGGCGGAUUAGAAAGUUGGGGGUGAAAUCCCGGGGCUCAACCCCGGAACUGCCUCCAAAACUACUAGUCUAGAGUUCGAGAGAGGUGAGUGGAAUUCCGAGUGUAGAAGUGAAAUUCGUAGAUAUUCGGAGGAACACCAGUGGCGAAGGCGGCUCACUGGCUCGAUACUGACGCUGAGGUGCGAAAGUGUGGGGAGCAAACAGG